rnacentral:rRNA from 1 species
UGGGGAAUAUUGGACAAUGGGCGCAAGCCUGAUCCAGCCAUGCCGCGUGUGUGAAGAAGGCCUUUUGGUUGUAAAGCACUUUAAGCGAGGAGGAGGCUACUUGGAUUAAUACUCUAGUAUAGUGGACGUUACUCGCAGAAUAAGCACCGGCUAACUCUGUGCCAGCAGCCGCGGUAAUACAGAGGGUGCGAGCGUUAAUCGGAUUUACUGGGCGUAAAGCGUGCGUAGGCGGCUUCUUAAGUCGGAUGUGAAAUCCCUGAGCUGAACGUAGGAAGUGCACUCGAUACGGGGAAGCUAGAGUAUGGGAGAGGAUGGUAGAAUUCCAGGUGUAGCGGUGAAAUGCGUAGAGAUCUGGAGGAAUACCGAAGGCAAAGGCAGCGAUCUGGCCUAAUACUGACGCUGAGGUACGAAAGCAAGGGGAGCAAACAGG